UACGUAGGUGGCAAGCGUUAUCCGGAAUUAUUGGGCGUAAAGCGCGCGCAGGUGGUUUCUUAAGUCUGAUGUGAAAGCCCACGGCUCAACCGUGGAGGGUCAUUGGAAACUGGGAGACUUGAGUGCAGAAGAGGAAAGUGGAAUUCCAUGUGUAGCGGUGAAAUGCGUAGAGAUAUGGAGGAACACCAGUGGCGAAGGCGACUUUCUGGUCUGUAACUGACACUGAGGCGCGAAAGCGUGGGGAGCAAACAGGAUUAGAUACCCUGGUAGUCCACGCCGUAAACGAUGAGUGCUAAGUGUUAGAGGGUUUCCGCCCUUUAGUGCUGAAGUUAACGCAUUAAGCACUCCGCCUGGGGAGUACGGCCGCAAGGCUGAA
rnacentral:rRNA from 1 species